ensembl:lncRNA
CUUUCAACAAAAGAUUUCUGAAGCCACCAUAGGUAACAUACAGCUGCCCAUGCCUCCCUCUUUGUAGAAGAGUUUCCGGGAGAAGCCUCGGGAGGGCUAAUCAAGAUAUUAAAUUUACUCACAGACAACCUGUGUCAAUGCCUGGUAGCAAGUUGGGUGUUCAAUGGAAAUGAAAGAUUAGAAGACCAUUUAGAUGGCUUGGUGGGCAGAGUGCUCACCAACAAGUCUGAGGAACUGAUACCCAGAAUCCACCUGGUGUAAAGACAAAAAAUGACCUCCUGAAAGAUGCCUUCUGACCUCUGCACGGAUGCUAUGGCCCAGUCCACACCUGGAACCUGAAGCAGACAAUGGUAAGGGAUUACAGCAUUAAUAAAAUGGACAACGGAGACUCGAAGAAUACAAAACAAUAGCCAGAAGAGUGCCAGUGCAGGAGGAGAGAAGGCAUGAGGUGCGUUUGAAGCAAAACACAGUUUUGUUCCUGAAGCAAAACAGCUUAGUGGUACCUGUUUGGAAUUUUGAGCAGAGUUCCUCCAAAACUUCAUUUCAUUCUUAGAUCUUGCUAUUUUUUUUUUUAAUUUUUGCGGUCUGUUGAUAUAUAUUUUCUCACAGUGAUUGAGGAGAAGAGGCUGUUUAAUAGUAGCUUCUAAUUAUUUAUCAUUAAAGUAUCACGGAUUCUCACAUCACAUACUCAACUGUGUACAUGGGAGGAAACCAGUGCGCUUUAAAUUUAACACCGAGGAGGGAAUCAUUGUGUUCUCAUUGAACCAAUGGCAUUUCAGUUUGGAAAAGUAGUCAUGCUGUAAUAUUCAGAGCAUAGCACAUCUGAAACUUCACAUAACCAUGGUCUCAGGCUUAGUCAUUCAUCGUAUUCCUCUCUAGCUUCU